AUGUUUCUCAGCUGGAGCCAUCGAAGAUGGGUUUGUCCCACGAUGGCAGGCAAGGCCCGUGCCAUGCCGGCUGAGCUCCACAGCCUCCACGUGCACGUUCACGGCCCUCAGGAGGAGGCAGCGCCUCCAAGGCACGACUCAGGGCCUGGCACAAGAUGGCAGCUGGGGCCAGCCCUGGGGGCCAGGGCCCGCAGGGGGUCUGCGGUGUCCCUGGCGGGGUGGGCAGCCUCCAGCAGGCCUGGAGAGCCGAGCAGCCCCGAAAGAGCUCCCCGGGGCCGGGGAAGUUUCCUGUUUGCUGCCCGCGCUGAAGCAUCGGCCCCGCAACCGCUGCCGGGCCCGCGCUUCCGGCCGGGGCUCCCGCCCGGAGCCCCCCUGCACUAUCAGCUCGCCAGAUGCCUUUUUCAGGAUACUGUGGUAAAACUGUGCCGGGCAGGCGCUGUCAUUUGGGGUUUUCUCUCGUGUCAGCCUCGAAGACAAAUUGGGCAAGGAGGAGCAAGAGGGGAAAGAAAAAAUAAAAUUAAAAAAAAAAUAAUAAAUAGAAGAAAGGAAGAUGCCGGCUGCCAUCCGUCGGCGGGGCCGGCCCGCGUGGCGGCGUGGCGAUGGGUCCCCCAAGCGGCGUGGCGGCGGUGGGCAGCGUGGUGGCAGGACCGGGCGGCCGCCAUGGCGGCAUGGCCUCCCCGGGCGCUGUCGGCCUCUAGUGGCGGCGGUGGCCGCGUGGUGUCAUGGCGGUGCUGCAGGCCCCGUGGGUCCCAGCAGCGCCACGGGGCCUUCUGCCUUCCCUCCUGGUGGGGCUGUCUGUUCUGGAUGUGGCCUCUGGGUGCUGCCACCUCCAGAACGUCAUCCUCCACCAGGACAUCAUCCUCCACCAGGACUCUGUCAUCCACCAGGACGUCGUCCUCCACCGUGAUACCAUCAUUCAUCAUCCAUCACCCUCCAGAGGGACGUGGCCCACCCUGCGAUGACAAGGGAGCAGGAGCACUAUGCACCUGCCUGUCCCCAUGUAGCACCCAGCAGCACCCAGAUAGGACAGGGUGCCCCAAAGCACCUGCAGUGCCCUCAUGGCUGCUGCUCUGGGGCCGCCUGGUGGUGUUGGGCAUCCACCGUACCGGGCAGACUGGGAGCUGGUGGUGGGAAGGCAGCGGUGACAGUGCAGGGAAAUCUGUCUGUCUGCGGAGCUGCGCAGGGGCCUGUCAGAGCCACCGUGGAGCUGGGGGGGCCCACAGGCUGGCACAAGCAUGGUUUCCACUGUGGGAGAGCAGAGAGAGCCCAGGAGAAGAUGUCCUUGGGGACCCAGAGGUCCAGAAGUGCCAGCCGUCCUACAGCAGAGCAGUAGACGGUGUGAAUUGGUGGCACUGGGGACAGUGGGGACAGCAGUGA
rnacentral:lncRNA from 1 species